AUAUAAGCAGGUUGUGCCACAAAAGGUACAAUACAUAUAUGUUUCUACAUGUGUGCCACAAAAGAACAUAUGUUUCUGGGGUGCCACACAACCAAAAUGAGCAUAUUGUGGCCUAACAACCGGCAAAAUGAGCAGAGCAAGUGUAUAGGUUCCACAAACAAAGCAUAAUCACUCUACCAUAUCUUCAACAGCUUAAAGAUCUUCCGAAUCUCCCAAAUCUUCAGCAGCUUGAAGAUCUUCGAAACCCCCAUCAACUUCUGUAGGGAAACCUGCAACAAAUAAGAAACUCAAAAUGGAGCUCUCGUUUCAGAUUUUAAAUUAGCACAUUAAAGAUUUUGACAUGCUGCAGUUUAACUCAUCGGCAUAAAUAGAACUCUUCUAAAUGUGCAUCACUUCAUCAUCACUGCAAGCAAUGUUACAUCAUUAGAUCAAGCAGGAAUUGUUUGAAGUACACAUACAAUAUCUUCAUGUGCAAAUAAGGAAAACAGGAACCUGUACAAUUGACUUGCAAAAGCAAUGACUAAAACUGAGUUAAACAUGUAUAGCAUCAUCUCUGGAGUUAAUUUAGUACUCUGAGUUCGAAUCAUUUUUUUGCACCGAGUUAAACUCUACAAAUAGGCAACACUCUAUAUAGUACUAUUUUGAACAAAUAGUCAAAGCUGUGUACAAAUAGGCAAAACUCUGUACUAUACACAAUACGGUAGCGCAAGUAGGCAAAACUCUAUACUAUACAGAGUACAACAGUACAAAUAGGCAAAACUCUGUGCAAAUAGGCAGGGGCAGGCCCACAUCAAUUUUAAAAACUACGUAUAUAUAGUGUAUAUCAUAUGUAUAUAGAAGAAAAAACUAAUGAAAUAACCGUUGGUUACUGAUUUCUCUCUGUAUCUCAUGCAUCUUAGCUUGUGUUUAAUAGAAUUCAUUGAAGAGAAUACCCUCUAACAGUGCAGCAAGCCAAAACUAAUAGUAGAGUUUAACACUGAGUUCUAGCUCGAAGCCAAAAAUCUGUCAUGUGCAAAUAGGCAAAACAUGCUCAGUUCAAAUCUUUCUUUUUCUUGCACUGAGAUAAACAUUUGUACAGAGUCUCCAGGAAUAACAAGGUAAUGCAGCACUGUACGUGUAUACUGUGGGGUGAAAGGAAGCAUCGAGGAACCGAUUACUUGCGCCGACGGAACAGGUCAAGAUUGCUGCUCUUGCCCACCUGCUCGGAAGUCGCUGGCAGCCGCCAAGCCACCCCGCCUAUCAGGUCAGGUCACUUCCCAAAUUUAUGAAUUUCUUUACCCCAUCAAUAUGUGCUUGUGUACUUCUAGCUUUAUCCAUCCUACUCUUGUCAAUUCUUGACCAGUUUCACUAAAAUUGCCUAACAUGCGACAGAAAGUAUACUUCUAUUAAGGAAAAAAUGUAGUAACAAAAUGCAUAUCACCCGUAUCUAGUACAGGCAACAAGAAAUACAAUAUGGAGAAGGAAUGCCAUCACACAACACAAUAUAAUGAACUGAAACAUGUCAUUUCAGAAAAUACAAAAACCAAAAUAGCAGUAAGAAUGUCAUCAUCUAUACCAUAAAAGCACAGCACCUGUUCUGUACACAUAUCGUAUUUCACACAACACAAACAAAGAUGGUUCUACUUUGGGGCAUCAACUAAACAACUUAGUCAGGUGGACUAAACAGGUGGACUGAAGACUUAAAAUGAUUAGCUUUCUUCUCAAAUUAAAAUGAACUCCAUAGCUCAACUCAACAACUUAGUCAGGUGUCAGCGAAUCUAAUUAAGCUAUGCACUUAUUAAUCAACAAUGGUCCUUGUCCUUCGAUCUGAAGGGCUACUAACAGUACUAGUGUUCAUCUAUGUUUAUUUUUUAGUUCCAUUUUUAGAACCAUUUCAAGACUAUUACACUUUUACACAUUUCGUAGCAGCACAAGCUAACAACUUUAUCAGAUAUUCCAAAUUGCUGGCCUGCUCUUUUGGUGAGGACAGUAGAACUAGCUCGGAAGAAAAAAGGCACAAAAUAUGAAAUCUCACCUGACAAAUAAAGGGGAAAAGGAGGCAGCGCUAUUGAUCCAGGGGAAGAACAUUGCGGAGGGUAGAUGCUCUGUUGCUUCAUUGCAGAGGACAUGGAGGAUGUGGACCCGCAGGUGUCUGUAUGUUUAGACAGUUCAAUUCCAAAACUAGGAUGUGUCUAACAUGAUUCAAAACCAUACAAUAAAUGAGUGAAUUAAAAACACGUGUUUGUGUUGAUGCCUUCAUGGCCAUCAAACAUAACUGUGUUACUAUGUCGUAAAAAAAGUUGAAUUUCACCAGAAGAGCUUGAUUAGAGCUUACAUGCACACAGUUUCACUUCCAAUAUGACACAUCCUUUCACAAUUCAAUUUCAAGAGGAGUUGUAGCUAUAAGGUGUCACAAUUGCAGUCCCGCUGAAUAUAAACCUUAUUGCCUCUUUCAAAGCAAGUAGCUUUUCCCAGCAUAUUUUCAGACUUCCAGUGUGUAUAUAUGUAUAGCAAGAUUAAAAAGCAAUCAAAGGUGCGGCAAUGGCAGUCCCAUUGAAUAUAAAUGGUAUUGCUGCUUUCAAAGAAAGUAGCUUUUACUAGCAUGUCUUUAGACUUUCAGUGUGUAUAUAUCAAUAGCAAGAUUACUAUGGCUGGUUAUAGUUUCAUGAAUGUUGGCCCUUCUAGUACAUUCAGGUUGUAUAGAAAAUAGUAAAUACAACCAAUUCUCACACAUGAGGUGCUUCCUUUUUAAAAGAGCCCCAAGUUAAGAGGAAAAAUAUAGAUGCAUCAGUAACAAAAUUAUGCAAAGAGAAGCUUCCACACAUGUAUAUGUUUAAUCCCAAGUCCCACCAUCAAUCCAUAAAAAGGAUUUUCUGAAAGAAAAUAGAACUGGCAUAACUAAGGUAAAAUUCACUUGUGUUCCUCUCAAAUAAAUCAGUGUGUCUACAAUCCUGUAGUUUCUAAUUAUUAGUGGCGAAAAUCAGAUUAUAUGUAUGAAGAGAAGCGUUACCACUCAUGGAAAUUUUGUGAGCAAGCUACUGUUUCUUUAUUAGCUUGCAAGACUGUUGUUUCC
rnacentral:rRNA from 1 species